rnacentral:lncRNA from 1 species
AGAACACGUAGUGUACAUUAUAAAUAUGAAAAGUCGAGAUAAAUUCCAAGAUAUAUGAAAAAUAAGAGCAGUCUAAGAAGAAAAAAACUGAUAUUUCAUUAAAAUAGCUGUUACAAUUUAUCUCUCUGGCGAGGUGGGAGGAUAAAUAGUCCUUAAAGGACUUACAUUAGUAGGAACAUCCCCGCCUACAUUAUUUCUAUUUACAGCCACAUCUGAAGAAAGCUCGGUAUCCCUUGGAUCAGAGCUCUCAACAUUAACAACAGGGGCAACCUCUGACCCAAGGUGGAGGUCCUCCUUCUCAGAGUCAGGGUCAUCUUCCUCUGACCCAAGGACUUCCACGUCCUCCCCCUCUAGCUCGGAU